rnacentral:rRNA from 1 species
CCUACGGGUGGCAGCAGUCGGGAAUAUUGGGCAAUGGGCGCAAGCCUGACCCAGCGACGCCGCGUGAGGGAUGAAGGCCUUCGGGUCGUAAACCUCUGUCGGGAGGGAAGAAUGGCGGUGAGGCGAAUAGUCUCGCUGUCUGACGGUACCUCCAACGGAAGCGCCGGCUAACUCCGUGCCAGCAGCCGCGGUAAUACGGAGGGCGCAACCGUUGGUCGGAAUCACUGGGCGGAAAGCGCGAGUCGGAUGUGAAAUCCCGAGGCUCAACCUCGGAACUGCAUUCGAAACUGCUCGGCUCGAGUCCCGGAGAGGAUGGCGGAAUUCCCGGUGUAGGGGUGAAAUCCGUAGAUAUCGGGAGGAACACCAGUGGCGAAGGCGGCCAUCUGGACGGUGACUGACGCUGAGACGCGAAAGCGUGGGGAGCAAACAGGAUUAGAUACCCUUGUAGUC